rnacentral:rRNA from 1 species
CCUACCAGCCAUACCACUCUAAAUGCGCCUGAUCUCAAAAGCUAAGCAAGGUCGAGCAGGUUAGUACUUGGAUGGGAGAUGAGAACUGCACCAAUUGAUAACGUCUGCUCAGGACAGA